GGAUUCUUCCAGAAGUUUACUAUUGAUGUCCUCAUCACUUUUGUAGGAAAAUGCAGUGACUAUCUCUAUAAGUAUGCUUGGUGGGAGAGAUAACAAUUUUAAAAGAAUGUGUAACACAUAAGUUCGUGCAGGGCAUGUAUCAUUUAUCAAAGAUGUAGCUGCCACUGAACCUCCAAUGCAUCUUCAGCACUUACUCAAAGUGCUUCAAACAAGAGGUGAAACAAUCAUCUCUCCUGGAGCUAAGCAGGGACUGAUACCUCUUGCUAUUCCGCUUUCGAAGAAUCCUUCAGGUAAGGUCACACAUUUGAUCGAAUCCAUUUGCUUUUUAUUUUUAUCAGGAUCUUUUGUUUAAUCUUGUGUGUUUCUGGUUUAUUGUCUAAGUAGGCUUACUGCACUUGUGAGAUGGCCUACUGCUCCUCUAGGGUUAGAGAGAUUUGGAUCAUUCUUGAUAACUGUUGCAAUGGUAAAUAAGUAUAUGUUGUUGGGAUUUUCUUGAUUUUAACUUUUGCUAUAUGAGAACAUUAGAACAGAAUGGAUAUGCCAGUUGUGGAAGUUUGGAGGAGUGGUGAUGUGAUUCUUGAUGCUCUGAUACCACUUGAUGUGAUUCUCCCAAGGAUCAACACUCUAAGGUAGGUAGACUGGUAACCCUAGAAUUCCGAUGGCUCGCAAAGCUGGAUGAUAAGGCGUGAGAUAAACUCGAAAAUCCUUAUGCCCCAAACUCUCUUAAAACAAACCAAACAAAGUAAGGCGGUGGAACUUUAGAUAAAAGCUUCGCGGAGACAGAUGAUAAGGCGUGAGACGAAUCCCAAAAAUC